AUGUGGGACACUGAAGGAUUGACCGGCAAAGUUGUAUGUGAAAUUUAAGGGUUGUUUUUUUCGGGUUACUGUCAUCGCCACAGUCUUUUGGUUAUUCAGAGACAUUUGCCACGUGGAGCACCACUCGUCUAGUUUUGUCAGUGUAUCGUUCAAUAAAGCCUGAUCUUUUUCGCAAGAAAUUUCUUGAUACAGUACGCAGUCAUCUGCGAAAAGUCGAAUUGUAACAGGGAUGUUCUCGGCAAUGUCGUUUAUGAA
rnacentral:lncRNA from 1 species